rnacentral:rRNA from 1 species
ACAGAGGUGGCGAGCGUUGUUCGGAUUUACUGGGCGUAAAGGGUGCGUAGGUGGUUAUGUAUGUCGGAUGUGAAAUCCCGAGGCUCAACUUCGGAAUGGCAUUCGAAACUGCAUGACUUGAGUACAGGAUGGGAGAGCGGAAUUCUUGGUGUAGCGGUGAAAUGCGUUGAUAUCAAGAAGAACACCGGUGGCGAAGGCGGCUCUCUGGAAUGUUACUGACACUGAGGCACGAAAGCUGGGGGAGCAAACAGG